AUGGCGAACGGCGUGGGCUCGGCGAAGGCGGAGAUCUGCGCCGGGCUGGGCAUGCCGAUGGCGGAGCUGGAGCAGGUGUUCCGGCGCUACGACGCCAACGGCGACGGCAAGAUCUCGGCGGACGAGCUGGCGUCCGUGCUGCGCGCGCUGGGCGCGCCCCCGGGGCCAGGGGAGGUGCAGAGCAUGAUGGAGGAGAUGGACGCCGACAGGGACGGCUUCGUCGACCUCCACGAGUUCGCCGCCUUUCACUGCGGCCCCUGCAAGGGCAGCGCGGCCGCAGACGCCAAGGAGCAGGAGGCCGCCACGGAGGCCGAGCUCAAGGAGGCCUUCCGGAUGUACGACGCCGACCGCAACGGGCUCAUCUCCGCGCGGGAGCUUCACCGUGUGCUCCGCCAGCUCGGGGAGAAGUGCUCCGUUGCUGACUGCUCGCGCAUGAUACGAUCCGUCGACGCCGACGGCGACGGCAGCGUCAACUUCGAGGAAUUCAAGAAGAUGAUGGGCGGCGGAGGUAGGAGCUAG
rnacentral:rRNA from 1 species